rnacentral:rRNA from 1 species
AUAUGUCCUAUCACCGCAUGGUGUGUAGGUGGAAAGAAUUUCGGUUCGGGAUGGACUCGCGGCCUAUCAGCUAGAUGGUGAGGUAAUGGCUCACCAUGGCGACGACGGGUAGCCGGCCUGAGAGGGUGACCGGCCACACUGGGACUGAGACACGGCCCAGACUCCUACGGGAGGCAGCAGUGGGGAAUAUUGCACAAUGGGCGCAAGCCUGAUGCAGCAACGCCGCGUGAGGGAUGACGGCCUUCGGGUUGUAAACCUCUUUUAGUAGGGAAGAAGCGCAAGUGACGGUACCUGCAGAAAAAGCACCGGCUAACUACGUGCCAGCAGCCGCGGUAAUACGUAGGGUGCAAGCGUUGUCCGGAAUUAUUGGGCGUAAAGAGCUCGUAGGCGGCUUGUCGCGUCUGCUGUGAAAACCAGAGGCUCAACCUCUGGCCUGCAGUGGGUACGGGCAAGCUAGAGUGCGGUAGGGGAGAUUGGAAUUCCUGGUGUAGCGGUGGAAUGCGCAGAUAUCAGGAGGAACACCGAUGGCGAAGGCAGAUCUCUGGGCCGUAACUGACGCUGAGGAGCGAAAGCAUGGGGAGCGAACAGGA